rnacentral:sRNA from 1 species
GGUGCAGCAUGAUGCUGCCCCCUUGGACCCUCGGCCUUCUCCUGCUGGCCACAGUCAGAGGUGAGGAUGCUGUCACCAUUCCUUUAGGGAGAAAGUGACAUGCCUGGGCUGGCCUUUGGUGAGGCAGCUAGAGGAAAAGAGGUCUGCUACGGACAACUUGGCUGCUUUUCUGAUGAAAAACCAUGGGCAGGAACCCUUCAGCGACCUGUAAAAUUACUUCCCUGGUCCCCCGAGGACAUUGACACCCGCUUUCUUCUGUACACAAAUGAAAAUCCAAACAACUUCCAAGUAAGAGCGGGCACCUAAUCACUGGCACUGAACCAGACACCAUUGAGGCUUCAAACUUCCAACUGGACCGCAAGACACGCUUCAUCAUCCAUGGCUUCUUAGACAAGGCGGAGGACAGCUGGCCAUCGGACAUGUGCAAGAAAAUGUUUGAAGUGGAGAAGGUGAACUGCAUCUGUGUGGACUGGAGCCACGGGUCCCGGGCAAUGUACACCCAAGCCGUGCAAAACAUUCGGGUUGUUGGGGCGGAGACAGCUUUCUUAAUACAAGCACUGUCGACGCAGCUGGGGUACAGCCUUGAGGAC